UUUUUACACUUGAUCUCUGAACUUUCAGGUAAGUUCAUGUGUCAAGUAAUGUUUUUCCUGAUGUC